rnacentral:rRNA from 1 species
ACAGCAGCCGCCACGGUAAUACGGAGGGUGCAAGCGUUAAUCGGAAUUACUGGGCGUAAAGCGCACGCAGGCGGUCUGUCAAGUCGGAUGUGAAAUCCCCGGGCUCAACCUGGGAACUGCAUUCGAAACUGGCAGGCUAGAGUCUUGUAGAGGGGGGUAGAAUUCCAGGUGUAGCGGUGAAAUGCGUAGAGAUCUGGAGGAAUACCGGUGGCGAAGGCGGCCCCCUGGACAAAGACUGACGCUCAGGUGCGAAAGCGUGGGGAGCAAACAGGAUUAGAUACCCCUGUAGUCCCUGUCUCUUAUAC